AUUAAUAUGAGCCCUAUGGGGAUUGCAGAGCUACAUUUCAGCAUCCUGCAAAGCUGUGCCCGCUCACUUUCCCUCAUACUCCUCCCUUUUCUUCUUUUUUCCCCCUCACCUCUCAUUUUCUGAGACUGACGGCUGACAAAGUAAUUAAUCACCUGCAGACAGGACGCUCUUGAGAUGUUGAGCAGAUGACUGAUCAGAUGUGAAAAGAUAUAAGGGUGUUUCUCCAACUUCUUGCACUUUUUAUAUCUUAAGGUUUGGUUUUAUUAAAACUAACAGAUUUAAUGCCCCCUUUUUAUAAAGGUUACAUUGAAACAAUUUUGUCUCUAUUGUAACCAAGUACAGUAACUACAAAAUAACUUGUUUGUGGGCACCACAAAUGAGGUACAGUCAUAAUUUGUGUAAAAAAAAAAUCAUAAAGUAAUUUUUACACAAUAAACAUCAAAAUGGAUUAUUUUUAUUUAACUCUUUGUUCACAUCAUAGUUUUAAAUAUUUAUUAAUUCAUAUUUUUAUAAUGGCUUGUUAUAGUUAAGACUGAAAGUCAGGGACAAGGGUAAAAUAAUAAAACUGACAAAUAAAAAUGUAUACAUGGGUAGUAAUGAUGGAUUCAUGAUAAAAAGUUUACAAGGCACUGAAAUAUUUUAGUAUGCCCUCAUUCAUUGUUGCUACAUUUCAAAUCUAUUUUAUAUUAUUAAAAGAAAUGAAAUAUAAAACUUUUAAAAUAUGGGAAAAAGACAGAGUUAUGAGAUAUAAAGUCACAAUUUUAAGAAAUAUAUAUAUAUUUUGUGAAUAUAUAUUUAAACAUUUUGAAAUACAUAAAAAAUCUGUAUUUUUGUCAAAGUUAGAGUUUGUUGUUGCUGUCUGAUAUAUUUUGAAUGAUCUGCUUUUGCAAAUUAUAAUACAUACAUUUGCAGAAACAUUACAAGUCACCACUAUGACAUGACUGUAAUCACAUACUAUUUAUUUCAGAAAAUUAUUUAUCAACAAGUAUGGAACAUGCUUGUUCCAUGUUGCAUAUGUGACAUUUUUCAGAUUUAUGCCAGUUUAGUUGAUUUUAUUUGCCAAUUUCUAUAAAAAUGCUCUCUGUUGCAGUCACAUACAUUUGUGUGUUUGUGUGUGUUUGUUUGUGUGUGUGUGUGUGUGUGUGUAUGAGAUAGAAAGUUCGUUCCACUUUGUGUUUAUGCUCUAGGACCAGACCUUGAUUUAAAUUUAAUUUUUUUUUAGAUUUAUGCCAGUUUAGCUGAUUUUAUUUGCCAAUUUCUAUAGAAAUGCUCUCUGUUGCAGUCACAUACAUUUGUGUGUUUGUGUGUGUGUGUGAGUGUGUGUGUAUGAGAUAGAAAGUUUGUUCCACUUUGUGUUUAUGCUCUAGGACCAGACCUUGAUUUAAAUGUAAAUUUUUUUUAGAUUUAUGCCAGUUUAGCUGAUUUUAUUUGCCAAUUUCUAUAAAAAUGCUCUCUGUUGCAGUCACGUGUGUGUGUGUUUUUUUGUGUGUUUGUGUGUGUGUGAGUGUGUGUGUAUGAGAUAGAAAGCUCGUUCCACUUUGUGUUUAUGCUCUAGGACCAGACCUUGAUUUAAAUGUAAUUUUUUUUUAGAUUUAUGCCAGUUUUGUUUAUUUUAUUUGCCAAUUUCUGUAAAAAUGCUCUCUGUUGCAGUCACACACAUUUGUGUGUUUGUGUGUGUGUGUGUGCGUGUGUGUAUGAGAUAGAAAGUUCGUUCUACUUUUUAUUUAUGCUCUAGGACCAGACCUUGGUUUAUAUGUAGAAAUUUUCAGAUUUAUAAUGGAUUUACUUUUAUUUUUUUGACAAACAAAAUUUAAAAAAGUCAUUUUUUUCAUUUUCCCAUUCAUUUUCAAUGUGGGGUCAUUUUGACCCCAAACACCUUAAAUGGUAAAUUUUUUUUUACACACCUUUAGAACAACCAAAUCAAGCCCAGUUUUUUUGUGCAUGUUUAGUUAAGGCAAGGCAAGGCAAGGCAAGUUUAUUUAUAUAGCACAUUUCGUACACAAUGGUAAUUCAAAGUGCUUUACAUAAAAGAAGGUAAAAUAAUCAUGAAGAAAAAAUAAUAACAAAAAAUAAAACAAGCAAUUUUAAAAAAAACAUAAAACAGGCAAUUUUUAAAACAUUGGAAAUGAUUUAAAAAAAUUGACGUAUUUAAAAUGAAUUUAAAACAGUUAAAAAUAGAAAAUGAUUUUACAUAGAAUAUAGUGAAUAUGUAAAAUACAGUGCAAUCAAUUCGGACAUCGCACAUUGCUCAUUCAACAAAUGCACAGUUAAACAGAUGAGUUUUGAGUCUAGAUUUAAAUGUGACUAAUGUUUUAGCACAUCUGAUCUCUUCUGGAAGCUGAUUCCAACUGCGGGCGGCAUAGUAACUAAAGGCGGAUUCCCCUUGUUUUGUGUGAACCCUUGGUAUUUCUAACUGACUCGAUCCUAAUGAUCUGAGUGGUCUGUUAGGUUUAUAUUCAGUGAACAUAUCUGCAAUAUAUUUUGGUCCUAGGUCAUUGAGUGAUUUAUAAACGAGUAAAAGUACUUUAAAAUCAAUCCUAAAUGUAACUGGAAGCCAGUGUAAGGACCUGAGGACUGGUGUGAUAUGCUCAGAUUUUCUGGUUCUAGUCAGAAUCCUGGCAGCAGCGUUCUGGAUGAGCUGCAGCUGUCUAAUGGUCUUUUUGGGAAGGCCGGUGAGGAGACCAUUACAAUAGUCCACCCUGCUGGUGAUAAAGGCAUGAACAAGUUUCUCUAAGUCUUGACUGGAAACAAAACAUCUAAUUCUUGCAAUGUUUUUUAGAUGAUAGUAUGCUGAUUUAGUUACUGCUUUGACAUGACUACUGAAACUAAGGUCUGUCUCCAGAAUCACACCAAGAUUCCUGACUUGAUUUUUAGUUGUUUGUCCCCUUGAGUCAAGGUAUGCAUUCACCUUGAAAACUUCAUCUUUGUUUCCAAAUGCAAUAACUUCAGUUUUUUUCCUUGUUUAACUGAAGAAAGUUCUGGCACAUCCAACUAUUAAUUUCAUCAAUACAUUGGCAGAGGGAGUCAAUGGGGCUGUAGUCAUUUGGCGAUAAGGCUAGGUAAAUCUGGGUAUCAUCAGCAUAGCUGUGAUAGGCAAUUUGGUUCUUUCUCAUUAUCUGACUUAGUGGGAGCAUAUACAGGCUAAACAAGAGCGGUGCCAGAAUUGAGCCUUGUGGGACUCCGCAUGUCAUGGACGUCCACUUAGACUUAUGCUCUCCUAGACUCACAUAAUAACCUCUCCCUUCUAAGUAUGACCUGAACCAUUUGAGUACCAUCCCAGAAAGCCCGACCCAGUUUUUCCAGUCUCUCUAGUAGUAUGUUAUGAUCGACAGUGUCAAACGCAGCACUGAGAUCUAGCAAUACCAGCACUGAUAUUUUGCCAGAGUCAGAAUUUAAGCGAAUAUCAUUUAUUAUCUUAAUGAGCGCUGUCUCUGUGCUGUGAUGCAGUCGAAAACCAGAUUGAAAAAUUGUCCAGGUAUCCAUUUGAGUUUAAGUAUUUGUUCAGCUGAUUAAAAAAACUACCUUUUCUAUA
ensembl:lncRNA